AGGACGAACGCUGGCGGCGCGCCUAAUACAUGCAAGUCGAGCGAGAACCAGGGCUUGCCCUGGGGAGAGCGGCGAACGGGUGCGUAUCACGUGAGCAACCUGCCUCGGAGACCGGAAUAACUCGAGGAAACUCGGGCUAAUGCCGGAUGCCCUCGGUGGACCGCAUGGUCCGGCGAGGAAAUGGAUUCCGCUCCGAGAUGGGCUCGCGGCCUAUCAGCUUGUUGGUGGGGUAACGGCCUACCAAGGCAACGACGGGUAGCUGGUCUGAGAGGACGAUCAGCCACACUGGGACUGAGACACGGCCCAGACUCCUACGGGAGGCAGCAGUAGGGAAUCUUGCGCAAUGGGCGAAAGCCUGACGCAGCGACGCCGCGUGCGGGAUGAAGGCCUUCGGGUCGUAAACCGCUUUCAGCAGGGACGAAAUUGACGGUACCUGCAGAAGAAGGCCCGGCCAACUACGUGCCAGCAGCCGC
rnacentral:rRNA from 1 species